rnacentral:rRNA from 1 species
UGGGGAAUUUUGCACAAUGGGGGAAACCCUGAUGCAGCGACGCCGCGUGAUUUAGAAGGCCUUCGGGUUGUAAAAAUCUUUUCUAUGGGAAGAAAAUGACAGUACCAUAGGAAUAAGGACCGGCUAAUUACGUGCCAGCAGCCGCGGUAAUACGUAAGGUCCGAGCGUUGUCCGGAAUCAUUGGGCGUAAAGGGUACGUAGGCGGGUAAGCAAGUUAGAAGUGAAAUCCUAUAGCUCAACUAUAGUAAGCUUUUAGAACUGCUCAUCUUGAGGUAUGGAAGGGAAAGUGGAAUUCCUAGUGUAGCGGUGAAAUGCGCAGAUAUUAGGAGGAAUACCGGUGGCGAAGGCGACUUUCUGGCCAUAACCUGACGCUGAGGUACGAAAGCGUGGGUAGCAAACAGG